AUCUAUGGCCAUACCACCCUGAACGUGCCUGAUCUCAUCUGAUCUGAGAAGCUAAGCAGGGUCCAGCCUGGUUAGUAGUACUUGGAUGAGAGACCACCUGGGAAUACAGGGUGUUGUAGGCU
rnacentral:rRNA from 1 species